rnacentral:rRNA from 1 species
ACGGGAGGCAGCAGUGAGGAAUAUUGGUCAAUGGGCGAGAGCCUGAACCAGCCAAGUCGCGUGAAGGAUGAAGGUUCUAUGGAUUGUAAACUUCUUUUGUCCGAGGGUAAAGGAGGCUACGUGUAGCUUUUUGCAAGUAUCGGACGAAUAAGCAUCGGCUAACUCCGUGCCAGCAGCCGCGGUAAUACGGAGGAUGCGAGCGUUAUCCGGAUUUAUUGGGUUUAAAGGGUGCGUAGGUGGUUUGUUAAGUUUGUGGUGAAAGCGUGCGGCUCAACCGUACCAAGCCAUGAAAACUGGCGAACUUGAGUGCAAACGAGGUAGGCGGAAUGUGAUGUGUAGCGGUGAAAUGCUUAGAUAUGUCACAGAACCCCGAUUGCGAAGGCAGCUUACCAGCAUGCAACUGACACUGAGGCACGAAAGCGUGGGUAUCAAACAGGAUUAGAUACCCUGGUA